GCUGACCUAGUCAGUUUCAAUAGGAGUCUGCUUCUAACCGUCUCUUGACUGAGACUAGCGACUUGUGCGCUAACUUUUGACUUGACCUCAAAUCAGGUAGGACUACCCGCUGAACUUAAGCAUAUCAAUAAGCGGAGGAAAAGAAACUAACAAGGAUUCCCCUAGUAACUGCGAGUGAAGCGGGAAAAGCUCAAAUUUAAAAUCUGGCGGUCUCCGGCCGUCCGAGUUGUAAUUUAGAGAAGCGUUAUCCGUGCUGGACCGUGUAUAAGUCUCCUGGAAUGGAGCGUCAUAGAGGGUGAGAAUCCCGUCUUUGACACGGACUACCAGUGCAUUGUGAUGCGCUCUCGACGAGUCGAGUUGUUUGGGAAUGCAGCUCAAAAUGGGUGGUAAAUGCCAUCUAAAGCUAAAUAUUGGCGAGAGACCGAUAGCGAACAAGUACCGUGAGGGAAAGAUGAAAAGAACUUUGGAAAGAGAGUUAAACAGUACGUGAAAUUGUCGAAAGGGAAACGGUUGCAGUCAGUCGCGUCCGCCGGGGAUCAACCUUGCUUUUGCUUGGCGUAUUUCCCGGUGGAUGGGUCAGCAUCAGUUUUGACCGCAGUUGAAAGGCUGGAGGAAUGUGGCACCUUCGGGUGUGUUAUAGCCUCCUGUCAUAUGCUGCGGUUGGGACUGAGGAACUCAGCACGCCGAAAGGCCGGGAUUCGUCCACGUUCGUGCUUAGGAUGCUGGCAUAAUGUCUGUAACCGACCCGUCUUGAAACACGGACCAAGGAGUCUAACAUGCACGCGAGUGUUUGGGUGGCAAACCCGAGCGCGUAAUGAAAGUGAAAGUUGAGACCUCU
rnacentral:rRNA from 1 species